UUGGUGAGGGUAAUGGCUCUACCAAGUGCUGCCGAUCGGUAGCCGGACCUGGGGAGGUGGGAAUCGGCCCACACUGGGACUGAGACACGGCCCAGACUCCUACGGGAGGGCAGCAGUGGGGGAAUAUUGCACAAUGGGAGAAAGCUUUGAUGCAGCAAACGCCGCGUGAGGGAAGACGGUCUUCGGAUUGUAAACCUUUAACUUUGGAGAAGAAAGAAAUGACGGUAUCCAAAGGAGCAGCCACGGCUAACUUACGUGCCAGCAGCCGCGGUAAUACGUAGGUGGCAAGCGUUUCCGGAAUUACUGGGUGUAAAGGGAGCGCAGGCGGGGAGUCAAGUCAGUUGUGAAAUGCAUAGGCUUACCCUAUGAAUUCCAGUUGAAACUGUUUUUCUUGAGUGGAGUAGAGAAAGACGAAAUUCUGAGUGUAGCGGUGAAAUGCGUAGAUAUUGGGAGGACCACCAGUGGGGAGGGCGGUUUAUGGGGCUCUAACUGACGCUGAGGCUCGAAAGUGUGGGGAGCAACCAGGAAGGAUACCUGGGUAGUCCACACGGUAAACGAUGAUUCUUAGGUAGGGGGGUUUGACCCCCCCCGU
rnacentral:rRNA from 1 species